UGGAAAACAAGACAAGCAACACGGCGAACGACCAUUCGUCAGGAUGAAUGGAGGUCGAUUUUAUCGGAUAUAUGCAGAACUUUAGUCGACUCUAUGCCCAGAAGACUUAAUGCAGUCAUUGAUAGCAAGGGUGGUCGCACCAAAUAUUGGAUAUAGCAAGGGUGUACAUAUUUUUGUAACCUUUGAAAAUUAAUAUUUCUUUCUAUAUUCCAUGUACAAAAGAAGCCUUGGAACUGUCCGAAUUUCAAAGGGUCAUUCUGAAGGUGGAAAAUCUUGGGAUCCCGCUUUCUAUAGUUGAAAUAGAAAUUGUGCAAUUCGCCAGUGAGUCCCCAUCACCUCGCCCAGAUCGACCAGGGCCCUCUAACAUAGCAUUUCACUUUGUUAAGAGAAGUAUGGAGGAUAAUCCUCGUUGUAAGGCCUCUGACAUAGCAUAACAAGCUGAUAUCAGUCCCAGAACAGCUGUCAGGUAUCUCCACAAAUUUGGUUACAAUGGUAGAGCAGCAAGAAGUAAGCCACUUCUUCGACCAGCCAACAUCAAGCGGAAAAAAAUUGGGCCAGUGAAAAGGUGGACAGGCCACUGGCGUUUUGGGACGCUGUCAUAUUCUCUGAUGAAUUUGAAGUAUUUCCUGACAUUGAAGUAUUUCCUGACAUUGGUCGAGUGUGAGUUUGGAGAUUGUGAUCAAGAAUUUGAUGUGAAAAGAUUUCAGCCAACAGUAAAAAAAAUGGCAACUAUUCUGUGAUUGUCUGGAGAGCAAUUUGAUGUUGGUCAUAUUACUAGAAUAUAACUUUAGGUCAUCAACAAAAAAUGUAUCUUUGUUAACCUCUAAGAUUUCGCCGUCCCUAUCAACAGACUGCGCAACCAGUCAUUGAACGAUGAUGGGAAUAAAAUAAGAGGGACCUGUUUCACGUGUUAGUUCGUAGCAUCUGUCAUUCCGGUAUUUGCUGCUGAAGAGGAAAUAACCAUUCCGAAGUGUAUGCAUCCAACAAUCUGGCUAGGGAAAGCUGUGAGCUGAUUCUAUGUAUUUACAUCCAUUGUUUAUAACGAGAAAUUU